CAUGGCAAUUAUGGAAUGACCUCUGACAUCCCUAGACCAUUCCAUGAACUGGGAAAAUUGCAAUUCGUUUUCUGCAUGACCCACCUUAUUAAGAAUUUGCAGUAUCUCAGGAAGCAGAGGGACUGAGGGCAAUGACCUGAGCAACUCAUAGGUCCAGGUAUUUCUAUUUGACAUAAGAAAUAGGGGUCUCUGAAGGGAAGAAGUGGCUCAUACUAGGAGUGAUCAGCUUGCAUGGAGAACUCUAGAUAACACAAAUCAAGUUCAUUUCUCUCAGGGCACAGCAUGUGAAUUUUGUGGUGAGCACUUGACCGAAGCGCAGGAGAUCAUUUGGCAAUAAAAACAACAUGUCACCUUUUUAAUUAAAUCUGUCAAGUAUGAAUAGAAGAAAUUACAUCUCCUUUUACAGGUUUUAUUCCCUUGUCCAACAACUCUCAGCGACAUCCUAUUUCUUGAAAGAUAAAAUACAAACUCCUUCACCUCUAUAUCUCUCCA